ensembl:snRNA U6 U6 spliceosomal RNA
AUGCUCACUUCCACAGCACAUAGACUUAAAUUAGAACUAUACAGAGAAGAUUAGCAUGGCCCCUGUGCAAGGAUGACACGCAAAUUCCUGAAGCAUUCCAUAAUUAA